AAUUUGAAUUUCAGAUAAGCAAAGAAUAGUUUUAUAGAAUAAGUAUAUCCCAUGCAAUAUUUGGGACAUACUUGUCCUAAAAAAUUAUUUUUUUAUUUAUCUGAAAUUUUAAUUUAACUGGGCAUAUCUCCAUUUU
rnacentral:miRNA from 1 species